rnacentral:rRNA from 1 species
UAGCAUACAGGUGUGGGGGAAGUGGCGAAAGGGGCAGUAAGGCGUGGGUAACCUACCCCGGGGAUGGGCAUAGCCGGCCUAACGGCCGGGUAAUUCCCAGCGAUCUGGCGAGGGGGCAUCUCUUUGCCAGGAAACGAGUUUCGCCUCGGGAGGGGCUCACGUGCUAUUAGCUAGUUGGCGGGGUAACGGCCCACCAAGGCUGAGAUGGCUAGCGGGUGUGAGAGCACGACCCGCGCCACUGGCACUGAGACACUGGCCAGACACCUACGGGUGGCUGCAGUCGAGGAUCUUCGUCAAUGGGCGCAAGCCUGAACGAGCGACGCCGCGUGUGCGAUGAAGGCCUUCGGGUUGUAAAGCACUGUCGAGGGGGAGAAAGCCCCGAAAGGGGUUGAUCGAUCCCUGGAGGAAGCACGGGCUAAGUUCGUGCCAGCAGCCGCGGUAAGACGAACCGUGCGAACGUUGUUCGGAAUCACUGGGCUUAAAGGGCGCGUAGGCGGCUCCGCCAGUCGGGGGUGAAAUCCCACGGCCUAACCGUGGAAGUGCCUCCGAUACUGCGGGGCUGGAGGGAGGUAGGGGCAGCGGGAACUUCAGGUGGAGCGGUGAAAUGCGUUGAUAUCCGAAGGAACGCCGGUGGCGAAAGCGCGCUGCUGGACCUCUUCUGACGCUGAGGCGCGAAAGCCAGGGGAGCAAACGGGAUUAGAUACCCCGGUAGUUCCUGGCCCUAAACGAUGGGGGACUAGCUUGCGGCCCGUCAUUGGGGUUCUCAGGCGGAAUCAAAAAGUCCUAAGUCCCCCCCCUUGGGGAGUAAUGGGUCGCAAGGCUGAAACUCAAAAGGAAUUUGACCGGGGGC